UACGAAGGGGGCUAGCGUUGCUCGGAAUCACUGGGCGUAAAGGGUGCGUAGGCGGGUCUUUAAGUCAGGGGUGAAAUCCUGGAGCUCAACUCCAGAACUGCCUUUGAUACUGAAGAUCUUGAGUUCGGGAGAGGUGAGUGGAACUGCGAGUGUAGAGGUGAAAUUCGUAGAUAUUCGCAAGAACACCAGUGGCGAAGGCGGCUUUCUGGACCAAUACUGACGAUCAGGUGCGAAAGCGUGGGGAGCAAACAGG
rnacentral:rRNA from 1 species